CGGGUGAGUAACACGUGGGUAACCUGCCCUAUGGAGGGGGAUAACACAUAGAAAUGUGUGCUAAUACCGCAUAAUAUAGCCGCAUGCAAAGAUUUGCCAUAGGAUGGACCCGCGGCCCAUUAGCUAGUUGGUGAGGUAACGGCUCACCAAGGCGACGAUGGGUAGCCGACCUGAGAGGGUGAACGGCCACAUUGGAACUGAGACACGGUCCAGACUCCUACGGGAGGCAGCAGUGGGGAAUAUUGCACAAUGGGGGAAACCCUGAUGCAGCAACGCCGCGUGAGCGACGAAGGCCUUCGGGUCGUAAAGCUCUGUCUUAGCUGACGAUUGACGGUCAGCUAGGAGGAAGCCACGGCUAACUACGUGCCAGCAGCCGCGGUAAUACGUAGGUGGCGAGCGUUGUCCGGAUUUACUGGGCGUAAAGGGAGCGUAGGCGGUUUUUUAAGUGGGGUGU
rnacentral:rRNA from 1 species